AGUUUGUAAUCUGACACAGUACACUGCAGUUGUCUCCGAGGUGAACCUCCGGAGCCUUGGCACAGCUCGCUUCUAAAGCUUGGAAAUGACCCGCCACACCUGAAGCCUGCAGGUGCUGAGGCCACAUUCGAUCAGACCCAAGCUUUGGGAGACCGCUGGGGAAAUUUCCCACUUCCUCUCCUGAGACCAGGAACUCAGCAGAGAAACUUUGUGGAAUGGGAACAAUGGCAUUGAUUUCUUCUGCUUCCAGUCACAUAGUAUACGUGCAACUGUGUUACCAAGUCUGAAGUGCUACCGAAACAUAAAGUGUAGGCCAGCCUGUUGCAUCAGGUGAGACAGCGUUCAGCUGCAAGUAACAAUAGAACCUGCUAACACUGCCCUGCAGAGACGGGGCUGGCUUUUCUCAUGCAGAAAGUCAGAGGCCACCAUUGCAGGGUGGCAUGAGGGCU
rnacentral:lncRNA from 1 species